GGGCCUGUAGCUCAGUUGGGAGAGCACUACCUUUGCACGGUAGGGGUCGCAGGUUCGACUCCUGUCAGGUCCACCA
rnacentral:tRNA from 1 species